rnacentral:rRNA from 1 species
UACGUAGGGUGCAAGCGUUGUCCGGAAUUAUUGGGCGUAAAGAGCUCGUAGGCGGUUUGUCGCGUCUGCCGUGAAAGUCCGGGGCUCAACUCCGGAUCUGCGGUGGGUACGGGCAGACUAGAGUGAUGUAGGGGGAGACUGGAAUUCCUGGUGUAGCGGUGAAAUGCGCAGAUAUCAGGAGGAACACCGAUGGCGAAGGCAGGUCUCUGGGCAUUAACUGACGCUGAGGAGCGAAAAGCAUGGGGAGCGAACAGG